rnacentral:rRNA from 1 species
UCUACGGGAGGCAGCAGUGAGGAAUAUUGGUCAAUGGACGAAAGUCUGAACCAGCCAUGCCGCGUGCAGGAAGACGGCUCUAUGAGUUGUAAACUGCUUUUGUACAAGGGUAAACCUGAAUACGUGUAUUCAGCUGAAAGUACUGUACGAAUAAGGAUCGGCUAACUCCGUGCCAGCAGCCGCGGUAAUACGGAGGAUCCAAGCGUUAUCCGGAUUUAUUGGGUUUAAAGGGUGCGUAGGCGGGACCUUAAGUCAGUGGUAAAAUUGCGGUGCUCAACGCCGUAGAGCCGUUGAAACUGGGGUUCUUGAGUGAGCGAGAAGUAUGCGGAAUGCGUGGUGUAGCGGUGAAAUGCAUAGAUAUCACGCAGAACCCCGAUUGCGAAGGCAGCAUACCGGCGCUCAACUGACGCUGAGGCACGAAAGUGCGGGUAUCGAACAGGAUUAGAUACCCCAGUAGUC